CGACAGUGUAUGUAAAUUUAAUCGUGGCUUUCAAAACGGAAGUAGACAAGCACCUGAAGGCAAAACAAUUUGUCAGUUGCUCUCACAGAGAGCCAGCACAGAUUUGGCAGUCCAGGCGGCCUCUUUCUGUACCGCCACCAGAAAAACCAGGAAGCUGCCCGAAGGUGAGAAACACCAGCAGCAACAGAUGGUGUUCAUGCUUGAAAAAUAGUAAAUGUCGGAUGUUCCAACACACUCCAGCACCCUCCUGAACUGGUGCCUUGCUGAUGGUGGACAGGUUUUGAGCAUUCAGGUGGUGAGCCUCUCUUCGUCGAACACCACAAUCUCUACUCUGCUCUUGUAACCACGGUGUUGAUGUCGCUGCGCCAGUCAAUUUCUGCUCUGUGACGACCCCUGAGACAUUGAUGAGAGGGAACUCGGGAGAUGACGGUACAUUGAAAAUCAUUGGCAGUGAGCGGGGCUUCCAUUUGUUGCUUGAUCAUACAACAUGCUGUAUAAAUUGCUAUUCCCUUUGAAAUUUGGCAUUCUUGCAUCUGUCCUGAUGAGUGCAAGGCGAAAAGCUUCAACAUCAUGUCUCUCUUUUUAGCAAUACUCAAAUCUAGAAAGCUUGAUGGCGGAUCUGAAUGAAUGUGGAGAGACUGGAGAAGCUGGGACAGUUCUCUUUGAAACAGAGAAGGUUAAGGGGAGAUCUAAUAGAAGCAUUGAAAUGUUUGGCUAGAGUAAAUACAGCUGUACAGCUUUCCAAUGGCAGAAGGAUCAGGAACCAGAAGGUACAGAUUUAAGGUGAUUGGCACAAGUAGCAGAGUCAAGAAAGCUGUACAGGGCUAUGGGGAAUUUGCAAGUGAGUGAGUUAAUUGGGUAACUGUUUCAAGGAGGUGUGCUAUGGUGAAUGAUCUCUUUCUGUGCUGUAUCCUUCUGUGAAUGUAAUUAAAAUUAAGACUGUAGGGAAGUUUGUGAUUAAACCAGUGGAACCACUCAUCUUAAUUUUCUGUUCAUACUGCUGAUCGUUUUUAUCAUGUCUGCGCUGUUUUGCAUAGCUCCAAGCUGU